GACGAACGCUGGCGGCGUGCUUAACACAUGCAAGUCGAACGGAAAGGCCCUGCUUUUGUGGGGUGCUCGAGUGGCGAACGGGUGAGUAACACGUGAGUAACCUGCCCUUGACUUUGGGAUAACUUCAGGAAACUGGGGCUAAUACCGGCUAGGAGCUCCUGCUGCAUGGUGGGGGUUGGAAAGUUUCGGCGGUUGGGGAUGGACUCGCGGCUUAUCAGCUUGUUGGUGGGGUAGUGGCUUACCAAGGCUUUGACGGGUAGCCGGCCUGAGAGGGUGACCGGCCACAUUGGGACUGAGAUACGGCCCAGACGCCUACGGGAGGCAGCAGUGGGGAAUAUUGCACAAUGGGCGGAAGCCUGAUGCAGCAACGCCGCGUGCGGGAUGACGGCCUUCUGGUUGUAAACCGCUUUCGCCUGUGACGAAGCGUGAGUGACGGUAAUGGGUAAAGAAGCACCGGCUAACUACGUG
rnacentral:rRNA from 1 species